AGGGGUGUAGCUCAGUGGUAGAGUGAGUGCUUAGCAAGCACGAGGUCCUAGGUUCAAUCCCCAGUACCUCUA
rnacentral:tRNA from 1 species